AAUGUCAGCAGGUUCAGAACAAUAUUUGAAGUACAAAUUUAUGAGAAAAAUUAAUAUACCUACCUCAUACUCCCUCUAGUGGUUUUACUACGACGAUUCCUUCGAACAGCAGAUUGAUAAACAACUUAUUCACAUAACCCAACACAAGUGCAUGUGCAUCCAUCGUAAUUAACAAGAGGGCUAACUAAGUUUUAGAAAAUUGUUUUCAGUUGCUUUCAAUGAAGAGGAAGAGUUGACUUCGCUACUUAAUGUGAACUUUAAAGCUUGACCAUUCGCUUACGUUAAGGUAAUUUAUCUAUCUAUUAUUUAUAUUAGGAUAAAAAUUAUACAAUCUAAUACUAGAAAAAGGUAGCCCGGUUUGAUUAAUAAAAACUGUGAUAGUGCUUAUAUAGAUGGGAUUAUGGGGUAUUUGACAAUUCAUCAUACAGUUCCUUUAAUCGUGAAAAUUGUCUAAUGUGCUGCUUUGCAUUGAUGCUUCCGCUCAUCAAAGAAAAUUCCAUGCUGUUUCUGUAUUUUCUUGUCCAGUGGAAGUCAUCUAAAAAAAGCAUCCAACCCUCCCUGUUAAUGUAAACAAUUGCUAUAAACGUAAUAGUUGGUUGUUGCGAGGUUGUUCUAAAAUACCUCAAAGUGUUAUUCCGUUGUUAAAUAUUUUUCGAUAAAUGAUGAAGAUGCUCAACAUACAUGUGAAGUGUUUCUAUUGCUUUGUGUGAUAAAUAAAUUUCUAAACAACGGACCCAUCCAUAGUAUCCACCCGUCCAUCCAUCUGCAGAGAUUUCAUUAGCUCUCCAGAAAUUUCUUUUUGAAUUUUUUCAGAAUCUGUGGUUAAGCUAGACUCGAGAGUAAGUUUAGUAUUAGCCAAUCUCCGAAUAUUUUCCUAUACCACGUUAGCAAAAAUAAUUAAAUAAAGGACUGUUUUCAUACUUCUAUAGUGUUUUUCGUAAUUAGCCUGUAAACAUGCACCGGCCGCGUUUGUCCGACUCUAUGUGCUCGGUCUUCU